rnacentral:rRNA from 1 species
CCUACGGGAGGCAGCAGUAGGGAAUCUUCCACAAUGGGCGAAAGCCUGAUGGAGCAACGCCGCGUGGGUGAAGAAGGUCUUCGGAUCGUAAAACCCUGUUGUUAGAGAAGAAAGUGCGUGAGAGUAACUGUUCACGUUUCGACGGUAUCUAACCAGAAAGCCACGGCUAACUACGUGCCAGCAGCCGCGGUAAUACGUAGGUGGCAAGCGUUAUCCGGAUUUAUUGGGCGUAAAGGGAACGCAGGCGGUCUUUUAAGUCUGAUGUGAAAUCCUUCGGCUUAACCGGAGUAGUGCAUUGGAAACUGGGAGACUUGAGUGCAGAAGAGGAGAGUGGAACUCCAUGUGUAGCGGUGAAAUGCGUAGAUAUAUGGAAGAACACCAGUGGCGAAAGCGGCUCUCUGGUCUGUAACUGACGCUGAGGUUCGAAAGCGUGGGUAGCAAACAGGAUUAGAUACCCGAGUAGUC